rnacentral:rRNA from 1 species
ACGAACGCUGGCGGCAUGCCUAACACAUGCAAGUCGAACGAGACCUUCGGGUCUAGUGGCGCACGGGUGCGUCACGCGUGGGAACCUGCCCUUAGGUUCGGAAUAACUCCCCGAAAGGGGUGCUAAUACCGGAUAAUGUCUUCGGAUCAAAGAUUUAUCGCCUUUGGAUGGGCCCGCGUUGGAUUAGCUAGUUGGUAGGGUAAAAGCCUACCAAGGCGACGAUCCAUAGCUGGUCUGAGAGGAUGAUCAGCCACACUGGGACUGAGACACGGCCCAGACUCCUACGGGAAGCAGCAGUGGGGAAUAUUGGACAAUGGGCGAAAGCCUGAUCCAGCAAUGCCGCGUGAGUGAUGAAGGCCUUAGGGUUGUAAAGCUCUUUUACCCGGGAUGAUAAUGACAGUACCGGGAGAAUAAGCUCCGGCUAACUCCGUG